rnacentral:rRNA from 1 species
GAUGAACGCUAGCUACAGGCUUAACACAUGCAAGUCGAGGGGAAACGACAUCGCAAGCCUGCUUUUGAUGGGCGUCGACCGGCGCACGGGUGAGUAACGCGUAUCCAACCUGCCCAUCACUUGGGAAUAACCUUGCGAAAGUAAGACUAAUACCCAAUGACAUCCCACGAAGACAUCUGAAUGGGAUUAAAGAUUUAUCGGUGAUGGAUGGGGAUGCGUCUGAUUAGCUUGUUGGCGGGGUAACGGCCCACCAAGGCAACGAUCAGUAGGGGUUCUGAGAGGAAGGUCCCCCACAUUGGAACUGAGACACGGUCCAAACUCCUACGGGAGGCAGCAGUGAGGAAUAUUGGUCAAUGGGCGAGAGCCUGAACCAGCCAAGUAGCGUGCAGGAUGACGGCCCUAUGGGUUGUAAACUGCUUUUAUAAGGGAAUAAAGUGGGUCUCGUGAGACUUUUUGCAUGUACCUUAUGAAUAAGGACCGGCUAAUUCCGUG